rnacentral:rRNA from 1 species
AGUGAACGCUGGCGGUAGGCCUAACACAUGCAAGUCGAACGGCAGCACAGGAGAGCUUGCUCUCUGGGUGGCGAGUGGCGGACGGGUGAGGAAUACAUCGGAAUCUACUUUUUCGUGGGGGAUAACGUAGGGAAACUUACGCUAAUACAGCAUACGACCUACGGGUGAAAGCAGGGGACCUUCGGGCCUUGCGCGAUUGAAUGAGCCGACGUCGGAUUAGCUAGUUGGCGGGGUAAAGGCCCACCAAGGCGACGAUCCGUAGCUGGUCUGAGAGGAUGAUCAGCCACACCGGAACUGAGACACGGUCCAGACUCCUACGGGAGGCAGCAGUGGGGAAUAUUGGACAAUGGGCGCAAGCCUGAUCCAGCCAUACCGCGUGGGUGAAGAAGGCCUUCGGGUUGUAAAGCCCUUUUGUUGGGAAAGAAAUCCAGCUGGCUAAUACCCGGUUGGGAUGACGGUACCCAAAGAAUAAGCACCGGCUAACUUCGUGCCAGCAGCCGCCGUAA